UACGAAGGGGGCUAGCGUUGUUCGGAAUUACUGGGCGUAAAGCGCGCGCAGGCGGUUUCUUAAGUCUGAUGUGAAAGCCCACGGCUCAACCGUGGAGGGUCAUUGGAAACUGGGGAACUUGAGUGCAGAAGAGAAGAGCGGAAUUCCACGUGUAGCGGUGAAAUGCGUAGAGAUGUGGAGGAACACCAGUGGCGAAGGCGGCUCUUUGGUCUGUAACUGACGCUGAGGCGCGAAAGCGUGGGGAGCAAACAGG
rnacentral:rRNA from 1 species